UAUGAUUUUCCCCCACAUAAUGCCGAGCGUCUAAUAUGGGCACCGGGUCAUACGGUAGGUGAUCCAUGACCCACAUCUCAUUCAAAACAAAAACCAUUAUCCAAAACCCUAAUUUCUCUACCUCCGCCACUAAUCUUCUGUACCGCUGUAUUCAAUGUUCAUCAGAUUUGCAAUCAAUUCAACUGGUUAGGGUUCAAUAAUCAAUAAGCUGAUUACUAGGAAAUGCAGAUCCAAAAUCCGCCUCACUUUUAUCUUUUAACCGUUUUUGAUCGCUUCCUCUUCUAUCUGAUUCUUUCUUUUUCCAAAACACCACCACCAUUUUUUUAUUCUUUAGAGUUUGCAAUUUGGUGCUUUAUGAAUUUCUUUGAAAAUCCAGGUUCUUGAAGUUCUUGGUUGAUGUUGGAUGUCGCCAAGGGGGAGGAGAUUCUUGGUCGAAUCAAACAGGACCUUAGGUAUACAUGGAGCUUGCACGGGAGGCACAGUCGUUGUGGACAUGGAUCGUGGAUGUUUUGCUAAACAUUUAUGACAGUUGAAAACUUAAUAAUUCCGUUGGAUUUUCAUACUAUGCUUCCGCUACUUAAACUAUGUUAUUUGAACACCUUUCAUAUUGUGGGUUGAUACAUUUACGUUACUAUUUA